rnacentral:rRNA from 1 species
UACGGAGGGUGCUAGCGUUGUUCGGAAUUACUGGGCGUAAAGGGCGCGUAGGCGGCCGUUUGUGUCGGAUGUGAAAGCCCGGGGCUCAACCUCGGAACGGCAUUCGAUACGGGACGGCUGGAGACCGGGAGAGGAGAGUGGAAUAGCCAGUGUAGAGGUGAAAUUCGUAGAUAUUGGCUGGAACACCGGUGGCGAAAGCGGCUCUCUGGCCCGGUUCUGACGCUGAGGCGCGAAAGCGUGGGGAGCAAACGGG